rnacentral:rRNA from 1 species
GAGGAAUGCAUCGGAAUCUACUCUGUCGUGGGGGAUAACGUAGGGAAACUUACGCUAAUACCGCAUACGACCUACGGGUGAAAGCAGGGGAUCUUCGGACCUUGCGCGAUUGAAUGAGCCGAUGCCCGAUUAGCUAGUUGGCGGGGUAAGAGCCCACCAAGGCGACGAUCGGUAGCUGGUCUGAGAGGAUGAUCAGCCACACUGGAACUGAGACACGGUCCAGACUCCUACGGGAGGCAGCAGUGGGGAAUAUUGGACAAUGGGCGCAAGCCUGAUCCAGCCAUACCGCGUGGGUGAAGAAGGCCUUCGGGUUGUAAAGCCCUUUUGUUGGGAAAGAAAAGCAUUCGGUUAAUACCCGAUUGUUCUGACGGUACCCAAAGAAUAAGCACCGGCUAACUUCGUGCCAGCAGCCGCGGUAAUACGAAGGGUGCAAGCGUUACUCGGAAUUACUGGGCGUAAAGCGUGCGUAGGUGGUUGUUUAAGUCUGUCGUGAAAGCCCUGGGCUCAACCUGGGAAUUGCGAUGGAAACUGGGCGACUAGAGUGUGGCAGAGGGUAGUGGAAUUUCCUGGUGUAGCAGUGAAAUGCGUAGAGAUCAGAGGAACAUCCGUGGCGAAGGCGACUGCCUGGGCCACACUGACACUGAGGCACGAAAGCGUGGGGAGCAAACAGAUUAGAAUACCCUGGUAGUCCACGCCCUAAA